rnacentral:rRNA from 1 species
GACGAACGCUGGCGGCGUGCUUAACACAUGCAAGUCGAACGAAGUGGCGAACGGGUGAGUAACGCGUAAUCAACCUGCCCUUCAGAGGGGGACAACAGUUGGAAACGACUGCUAAUACCGCAUACUGAAGGAGGGGAUUGCGGCUGAUUAGCUAGUUGGAGGGGUAACGGCCCACCAAGGGGAUGAUCAGUAGCCGGUCUUGGAGGGUAAACGGCCCCAUGGGGACUGGGACACGGCCCAGACUCCCACGGGAGGCAGCAGUGGGGAAUCUUCCGCAAUGGAGGAAAGUCUGACGGAGCAACGCCGCGGGAGUGAUGACGGGCUUCGGGUUGUAAAGCGCUGUUAAUCGGGACGCGGUACCGGAAUAGAAAGCCACGGCUAACUACGUGCCAGCAGCCGCGGUAAUUC